AGUGAACGCUGGCGGCAGGCCUAACACAUGUAAGUCGAGCGGCAGCGCGGGGGCAACCCUGGCGGCGAGCGGCGGACGGGUGAGGAAUUCGUCGGAAUCUGCCUUUUUGUGGGGGAUAACGUAGGGAAACUUACGCUAAUACCGCAUACGUCCUACGGGAGAAAGUGGGGGACCGCAAGGCCUCACGCAGAAAGAUGAGCCGACGACCGAUUAGCUAGUUGGUGGGGUAAAGGCCCACCAAGGCGACGAUCGGUAGCUGGUCUGAGAGGAUGAUCAGCCACACUGGGACUGAGACACGGCCCAGACUCCUACGGGAGGCAGCAGUGGGGAAUAUUGGACAAUGGGCGCAAGCCUGAUCCAGCCAUGCCGCGUGUGUGAAGAAGGCCUUCGGGUUGUAAAGCACUUUUGUCCGGAAAGAAAUCCCUGGAGCUAAUACCUUCGGGGGAUGACGGUACCGGAAGAAUAAGCACCGGCUAACUUCGU
rnacentral:rRNA from 1 species